UCUUCGGAGAGUUUGAUCCUGGCUCAGGACGAACGCUGGCGGCGUGCCUAAUACAUGCAAGUCGAGCGAAUCGAUGGGAGCUUGCUCCCUGAGAUUAGCGGCGGACGGGUGAGUAA
rnacentral:rRNA from 1 species